ACAAUGUAGUUUUGUUAUUUUUGGCCACAAUCAAUUACUGUGGUGAAAAGUUAGAAGGAAAGCAACAUCUUUUGCUAUGCCUGUGACAGCACUUAGGUCUAGCCACUAGCUAACGACCUCCACUAUUAACGUGGCAGAAGAAAACCUUUUUCCGCUGAGACCUGUCACUCAUAAAUGAAGAGGCCAUUUUGUUCUCUGAAAGAGCUAAGAGCUCACACUAGCACAGAAAAAUCAAGUAUGAUGAAACCAUGAGUACGUAUUUCUGCUUCAUGUCACUUCCACUUUGUCGCCUCACUUCAACUUUGGCCAGUAUGCAGGAUGUGAUGCAACUGUAUUUGGUGUCCAGGGUAAAUGGUUGAGCAGAAAUAUAAUGGCAAUUCUUGCAGUGUGUCUUCAGCUUCAAUGUUGCAUGUAUCGGAGAGUUUACAGCUGUGGGUUGCCUUACUUUUUCCUCUUCUGGAGAGCAUUGACUCUAAUUUCCUCAGUCAGUCUUCAUCCAGGCAAGUAUAGACUCUAGAAGCAUAUUAAUUAGCUGACUAAUAUUUUAUAUGACACUGCCUUUAAUUCUACCUCCCCUCCGAGUAUCUGCAUUUAGGUCCUGUUUCUUGUUACCACUUGCACUUGUUGCCUGCUUCUUCCACCACAGUGAGUUUCACAUCAGAAGUGAAAUCAUGAAGCGAACGAACAUGUGAUAUAACACGGUGAAAGACAGCAUGAAUUAAUCCAGUCAAAUGCCAGUUUUGGUCCCCCACCAUCGACCUCCUUGGACACUGAAUCAACAAACACAGGGCAACACUCCUACCAUCAAAGUAGUGAUAGAUGGACUCUUCAUACACACCUUAAUGAGCUGUCCAUCUCCUGUACCAAUGAAGAAAACCAUCCAUGUCUUCUGCCUCACUGCCAGCACAGAGGUCAUGUAGGGCUGCCUGAAGAGAACUGCCUCUGGUUU